CAAGCUGAAGUCAAAUUAGAAUACUUGCUGAACUUAAGCAUAUUAAUAAGCAAAGGAAAAGAAAUCAACUGAGAUUGCCUUAGUAACGGCGAGUGAACCGGCAUAAGCUCAUUGCUGAAGCGUGUUAAAUUCACUUUUGACAUGCAUUGUAGCAUUUGGGGUGACUACUGUAUGGUACCUGUUCGUGUGAGUUCCUUUGAUCAGGGCUUUAACCAUAGAAGGUGCUAGUCCUAUAAUCACGAAUAGUUUGUACUGUACAUUGUACACCUUUCGAGUAGCGUAGUUUGAGAUUGCUACGCCAACGUGGGACGUAAACUUGUUCCAAAGCUAAAUAUUAUAACGAGACCGAUAGCGAACAAGUACCGUGAGGGAAAGUUGAAAAGCACUCUGAAGAGAGAGUUAAAUAGUACGUAAAACCGUACAGAAGAAAACGAAUGGCCGCAUUCAUCAGAUGACUUUGGAUUCAAUUCGUUCUCUAUAUGAUGGCAAUACAUGUUAAUUUGGAACUUCAACAGUCCAUUGAUAUGUUGAUUGUCUGGAGUCGGAUGCAUUUUCAAAGUAAACUGAACCUGGAUCUAUAACUUACAGCUAGUCGAAUCAGUCUAUUUUGGUAGCAAACUUCGGUUUGUGUUAAAAAUAUGACUUGCAUAAAUAACAAAUUCGACUUGGCGUUAUAGGUAAACAGACACGUUUUUGAUUUCAGUACUUUGUACGGCAUGUCAUGAGCAUUGUUUGUGUUACAUGAGUAACUAAUAUCUAAACAAUAUUAGUUUUAUUCAUUGUGAAUGCUUAAUGUUUUAUGGCUGUCAAUGAAAUCGGCAAGUCUACAGGAGUUUUGAAUGCCGAGUUAUUCGACCCGUCUUGAAACACGGUCUAAGGAGUUCACUGCAUGUGCAAGAGUUCGGCUGUAUGAAAAGCCUUGCUCGUAAUGAAAGUAAAGAACAUUCUUGCAAUGUUUUAAGUGUGAUUUCUGUCAUCUGGUGUAAAUCAUGACAAUGAACGCAACACUGACAGGUUCUAUUGCCGUUGGCAAAGAGCUUAGUAAGAGUAUAUGCAAUGAGACCCGAAAGAUGGUGAACUUAAUGUGUGUAGAAUGAAGCCAGGGGAAACCCUGGUGGAAGUUCGUAGCGGUUCUGACGUGCAAAUCGAUCGUCAAACAUGCAUUAAGGGGCGAAAGACUAAUCGAACCAUCUAGUAGCUGGUUCCGUCCGAAGUUUCCCUCAGGAUAGCUGGCAUUCAAUUUUCACAGUUAUAUCCGGUAAAGCGAAUGUUUAGAGGCAUUGGGCGUAAAAUACGCUCAACCUAUUGACAAACUUUAAAUGGGUAUGAAGUUCAUUUUUCUACUUCAUUGAGAAUGAACAGCGAAUGUGAGUGCCAAGUGGGCCAUUUUUGGUAAGCAGAACUGGCGCUGUUGGAUGCACAAAACGUCAAGAUAAAGAGCCAGAUGGUCUCGCUCAUCAGAUACCAUAAAAGGUGUUGGUCGAUAUAGACAGCAGGACGGUGGCCAUGGAAGUCGGAAUCCGUUAAGGAGUGUGUAACAACUCACCUGCCGAAUCGACUAGUCCUAAAAAUGGAUGGCGCUCGAGCGAGCCUCUUAUACUUGACUGUUACGAUACAACAAGCCAUUUACGGACAUCAUGUC
rfam:Oryza sativa Indica Group cultivar 93-11 Ctg047615, whole genome shotgun sequence.